CCAGACUCCUACGGGAGGCAGCAGUGGGGGAUAUUGCACAAUGGGGGGAACCCUGAUGCAGCGACGCCGCGUGAGCGAUGAAGUAUUUCGGUAUGUAAAGCUCUAUCAGCAGGGAAGAAAAUGACGGUACCUGACUAAGAAGCCCCGGCUAACUACGUGCCAGCAGCCGCGGUAAUACGUAGGGGGCAAGCGUUAUCCGGAUUUACUGGGUGUAAAGGGGGCGCAGACGGCGAUGCAAGCCAGGAGUGAAAGCCCGGGGCCCAACCCCGGGACUGCUCUUGGAACUGCGUGGCUGGAGUGCAGGAGGGGCAGGCGGAAUUCCUGGUGUAGCGGUGAAAUGCGUAGAUAUCAGGAGGAACACCGGAGGCGAAGGCGGCCUGCUGGACUGCAACUGACGUUGAGGCCCGAAAGCGUGGGGAGCAAACAGGAUUAGAUACCCCAGUAAUU
rnacentral:rRNA from 1 species